GAUGAACGCUGGCGGCGUGCCUAAUACAUGCAAGUCGAGCGAACAGACGAGGAGCUUGCUCCUCUGACGUUAGCGGCGGACGGGUGAGUAACACGUGGAUAACCUACCUAUAAGACUGGGAUAACUUCGGGAAACCGGAGCUAAUACCGGAUAAUAUAUUGAACCGCAUGGUUCAAUAGUGAAAGACGGUUUUGCUGUCACUUAUAGAUGGAUCCGCGCCGCAUUAGCUAGUUGGUAAGGUAACGGCUUACCAAGGCAACGAUGCGUAGCCGACCUGAGAGGGUGAUCGCCCACACUGGAACUGAGACACGGUCCAGACUCCUACGGGAGGCAGCAGUGGGGAAUCUUCCGCAAUGGGCGAAAGCUUGACGGAGCAACGCCGCGUGAGUGAUGAAGGUCUUCGGAUCGUAAAACUCUGUUAUUAGGGAAGAACAAAUGUGUAAGUAACUAUGCACGUCUUGACGGUACCUAAUCAGAAAGCCACGGCUAACUACGUG
rnacentral:rRNA from 1 species